GACGUAGGGUGCGAGCGUUGUCCGGAUUUAUUUGGGCGUAAAGGAGCUCGUAGGCGGCUCGUCGCGUCGACCGUGAAAACCCACAGCUUAACUGUGGGCUUUGCGGUUGAUACGGGCGGGCUAGAGUUCGGUAGGGGAGCGUGGGAAUUUCUGGUGUAGCGGUGAAAUGCGCAGAUAUCAGAAGGAACACCAGCGGGCGAAGGCGGCGCUCUGGGCCGGAACUGACGCUGAGGAGCGAAAGCGUGGGUAGCAAACAGG
rnacentral:rRNA from 1 species